rnacentral:rRNA from 1 species
UACAGAGGGCGCGAGCGUUGUCCGGAAUCACUGGGCGUAAAGGGCGCGUAGGUGGCCACUAUAAGGCCGCGGUGAAAGUUCGGGGCUCAACCCUGAAUCGGCCGCGGCGACUGUAGGGCUUGGGCACUGUAGAGGCAGAUGGAAUUCCGGGUGUAGCGGUGGAAUGCGUAGAUAUCAGGAAGAACACCCGUGGCGAAGGCGGCUCUCUGGGACGGUACUGACGCUGAGACGCGAAAGCGUGGGGAGCGAACAGG